rnacentral:miRNA from 1 species
UCCUCCUAUUGGUCAAACUGCG